rnacentral:rRNA from 1 species
AAUCAACGCUGGCGGCGUGCCUCAGACAUGCAAGUCGAACGAUUAAAGCUCUCUUCGGAGAGUGUAUAGAGUGGCGCACGGGUGAGUAACACGUAAGUAAUCUACCUUCGAGUGGGGAAUAACGUCCGGAAACGGACGCUAAUACCGCAUAAUGCAGCGGCAUCGCAAGAUGACAGUUGUUAAAGAUUUAUCGCUUGAAGAGGAGCUUGCGGCAGAUUAGCUAGUUGGUAAGGUAAUGGCUUACCAAGGCUACGAUCUGUAACCGGUCUAAGAGGACGGUCGGUCACACUGACACUGAAUAACGGGUCAGACUCCUACGGGAGGCAGCAGUCGGGAAUUUUGGGCAAUGGGCGAAAGCCUGACCCAGCAACGCCGCGUGAAGGAUGAAGUAUUUCGGUAUGUAAACUUCGAAAGAAUAGGAAGAAUAAAUGACGGUACUAUUUAUAAGGUCCGGCUAACUACGUGCCAGCCGCCGCUGUAAC